rnacentral:rRNA from 1 species
UACAGAGGGGGCAAGCGUUGUUCGGAAUUACUGGGCGUAAAGGGCGCGUAGGCGGCCCGCUAAGUCGAACGUGAAAUCCCUGGGCUCAACCCAGGAACUGCGUCCGAUACUGGCAGGCUUGAAUCCGGGAGAGGGAUGCGGAAUUCCAGGUGUAGCGGUGAAAUGCGUAGAUAUCUGGAGGAACACCGGUGGCGAAGGCGGCAUCCUGGACCGACACUGACGCUGAGGAGCGAAAGCCAGGGGAGCAAACGGG